UACGGGGGGAGCAAGCGUUGUUCGGAUUUACUGGGCGUAAAGGGCGCGUAGGCGGCCAGAUAAGUCCGCUGUGAAAUCUCGAGGCUCAACUUCGAGCUGUCGGUGGAAACUGUCUGGCUAGAGUCCGGAAGAGGAGAAUGGAAUUCCUGGUGUAGCGGUGAAAUGCGCAGAUAUCAGGAAGAACACCCGUGGCGAAGGCGGUUCUCUGGGACGGUACUGACGCUCAUGCACGAAAGCGUGGGGAGCAAACAGG
rnacentral:rRNA from 1 species